rnacentral:misc_RNA from 1 species
AGGGAUCAUUACUGAGUUUUUAACUCUCCAAACCAUGUGAACUUACCACUGUUGCCUCGGUGGUCGGUGCUGGAAACAGUGCUGCCACCGGUGGACUACUAAACUCUUGUUAAUUUUUGUCAAAUCUGAAUCAAAACUAAGAAAUAAGUUAAAACUUUCAACAACGGAUCUCUUGGUUCUG